GAUGAACGCUGGCGGCGUGCCUAAUACAUGCAAGUCGAGCGAACGGACGAGAAGCUUGCUUCUCUGAUGUUAGCGGCGGACGGGUGAGUAACACGUGGAUAACCUACCUAUAUGACUGGGAUAACUUCGGGAAACCGGAGCUAAUACCGGAUAAUAUUUUGAACCGCAUGGUUCAAAAGUGAAAGACGGUCUUGCUGUCACUUCUAGCUGGAUCCGCGCUGCAUUAGCUAGUUGUUAAGGUAACGGCUUACCAAGGCAACAAUGCCUAGCCGACCUGAGAGGGUGAUCGGCCACGAUGGGACGAAGAGACGGUCCAGACUCCUAAGGGAGGCAGCAGUAGGGAAUCUUGCGCAAUGGGCGAAAGCCUGACGAAGGAACGACGCGUGAGUGAGGAAGGUAUUCGGAUCGUAAAACUCUGUUAUUAGGGAAGAACAUAUGUGUAAGGAACUGUGCACAUCUUGACGGUACCUAAUCAGAAAGCCACGGCUAACUACGUG
rnacentral:rRNA from 1 species